AUCCAGCUGACGAGUCCUAAAAAGGACGAAAUGCGAAAUCUGGAU
rnacentral:hammerhead_ribozyme from 1 species